GGGGGUGAAAUAGGUUCGACACGGUAGGUUGAGCGUUUGCUGCAAACCGAGGCGCACGACCUCGUAAAAACGCGCAAAACUUUAAGUGCCAACAAAAGCACUGCUCCGCGUCUCGCCCUCGCUGCCUAAGCGAUAAGCGACCGCGUGGUUGACUACGGUCAACCCGUCUGCCUGCAUCAGGUUCGGUUGGUGCAGCAGCAGGCGUGACCAAUACCGAACUGCUGCAUUGUGACGCCGAUAAACAGCGCUUAAGACCAUCGGAUAGCCGGGUGCGAGUCCCCGUCGGGCGGGGUUGCCGAGGGCGAAAAUCUAAAUAGUCCGACUAUGUUUGUAGACGCAGGCGGGAGAGUUAUCGUGGACGGCGAUGGCAGAGUCGCCCACCUCCACUU
rnacentral:tmRNA from 1 species